CUCACCUUUUACUCACGAGAUUUCCUCCCCAUAUCCUCUAUUUUUACCUUCUUAUAACCCAUACAUAAAAAUCAAUUAGCCAUUCAAGAUCACUCCCAAAUUCAGCCCCUCCCUCACUCAUUUCCCAGCAGAAAACGAGAGCAAGAGAGGAGCUCUUGCCCUCUCGGUUUGGACAGCAAAACAGGAAUAGAAAAGGCUGCUGUCCCUCUUCCCUUUUCUCCCUUCAAACCAUCCCCAUCACCACCUUUUUCCUUCAAGUUUGAUCAGGUCCAUAAGCCAAAAUGAUGGCUUAAUCACAGCCCCUUUUUCCUUGUUUGUUACUUGACUGAAAUCACCCAAAUACACUCUUUAGUUGCUGAAUUUUCGAGAACCUACACACACAAAUAGUUGCUGAACUCCAGGUACCAAAUAAGCUCCUAAAAACCUUCCUGUUGCUGCCAUUUAUCGAGAUCAUAACAGUCCAUUGAAAGUCAUUUUUGAGUGACAUAGAUCCCAUGACAACCUCUUCCAUGAUGCCUAGAAAGAUGGUGUUCAACUCAUGAUAUAACAAUCCUUUGUGAUAGUAUUAGAACAAAGUCCUCCCAAAGAAUACUUCCGUCACGAGCCUUCGAGAAACCGGGAACAUCUCGACAUCUUUGAACCCGAUAACGACACGCAACUAAAGUAACUAAGGAGCCGGAGGUAGGACAUCGGUUCUAAGGAAAUUAUAGUUCCUUUCUUUUGGGAAUAAUCUUGAACUGUUUUUAUUUACUGAUGUGUGUUUAAACUAUGAAUAUGUAAUUUCAAUUCCAACACUUUAAGGUUUGUAACAUAUUGAUUUAAAUAUAUUAA